UUUCGAACGCACAUUGCGGCCCUAGGACUUGUUCCUGGGCCACACCUGACUGAGGGUCGGUUGACCAAACUCAACGACCAGACUGUCCCCUCAAGCUUGUCUUGGGGGACGAGRUUGGAGGUUUCCGCGCUUGCGUGGUCCUCUUAAAUAACGUGAGUGUGGGCUCGGCGUUCGCGUCGUCCCACCGAUUCGCUGCACGGAAAACUCAUGUAUAUAUCGAGUGGAAUGGAGAUGUGGUCGACCACCGCUAAGAGAAGCGGCUCUCCCAUCUGAGUCUCACACAAACGAGUAUACAGAAGGAUCUGACGGUCAUGCCGUUAGCGUGCGUCCGUUUUCGAGUUUCACUUGAACGGCGUUCCGACGGGUAGACCCGAACACAGUGGCUCCUUCGGGGCAAAGAUACCUUCUGAAACAU
rnacentral:rRNA from 1 species